GUUGAACGCUAGCGGAAUGCUUUACACAUGCAAGUCGAACGGCAGCACGGAGAGCUUGCUCUCUGGUGGCGAGUGGCGAACGGGUGAGUAAUGUAUCGGAACAUACCCAGUAGCGGGGGAUAACUACUCGAAAGAGUGGCUAAUACCGCAUACGCCCUACGGGGGAAAGGGGGGGAUCUUAGGACCUCUCACUAUUGGAGUGGCCGAUAUCGGAUUAGCUAGUUGGUGGGGUAAAGGCUCACCAAGGCGACGAUCCGUAGCUGGUUUGAGAGGACGACCAGCCACACUGGGACUGAUACACGGCCCAGACUCCUACGGGAGGCAGCAGUGGGGAAUUUUGGACAGUGGGCGAAAGCCUUAUCCAGCCAUUCCGCGUGUGUGAUGAAGGCCUUCGGGUUGUAAAGCACUUUUGUCAGGGAAGAAACAGCGAUGAAUAAUACUUGUCGCGAAUGACGGUACCUGAAGAAUAAGCACCGGCUAACUACGUGCCAGCCGCCGCCGUAA
rnacentral:rRNA from 1 species